rnacentral:lncRNA from 1 species
GAGCUUCGUAUUUUUGGAGAAGCUUAUAUACUUUUUGUACAUUUGAAUAGCAUAGAAAUUCUGUAUUUUUGGUUUCAAACUUGAAGGUUGUACUGCAAAACUUUUAAUUUAUAUAAGUUUGAAUCCUUUUGGCUACCUGUUACCCCUGUAUGAGGCUGCGUGCUACUGUGGGCGAUAGUCGGCAAUAGCACGGCCGUGUUACGGAUCCGGGUCCGGGGCGUGACA